UACGGAGGGUGCAAGCGUUUAUCCGGAUUUACUGGGUUUAAAGGGUGCGUAGGUGGGCAGGUAAGUCAGUGGUGAAAUCUCCGAGCUUAACUCGGAAACUGCCAUUGAUACUAUCUGUCUUGAAUUAUCUGGAGGUGAGCGGAAUAUGUCAUGUAGCGGUGAAAUGCUUAGAUAUGACAUAGAACACCAAUUGCGAAGGCAGCUCACUACGGAUAUAUUGACACUGAGGCACGAAAGCGUGGGGAUCAAACAGG
rnacentral:rRNA from 1 species